rnacentral:rRNA from 1 species
AUUGAACGCUGGCGGCAGGCCAAACACAUGCAGGUCGAGCGGUAGGGAGAAGCUUGCUUCUCUUGAGAGCGGCGGACGGGUGAGUAAUGCCUAGGAAUCUGCCUAGUGGUGGGGGAUAACGUUCGGAAACGGACGCUAAUACCGCAUACGUCCUACGGGAGAAAGCGGGGGAUCUUCGGACCUCGCGCCAUUAGAUGAGCCUAGGUGGGAUUAGCUAGUUGGUGAGGUAAUGGCUCACCAAGGCGAAGAUCCGUAACUGGUCUGAGAGGAUGAUCAGUCACACUGGAACUGAGACACGGUCCAGACUCCUACGGGAGGCAGCAGUGGGGAAUAUUGGACAAUGGGCGAAAGCCUGAUCCAGCCAUGCCGCGUGUGUGAAGAAGGUCUUCGGAUUGUAAAGCACUUUAAGUUGGGAGGAAGUGCAGUAACCUAAUACGUUAUUGUUUUGACGUUACCGACAGAAUAAGCACCGGCUAACUUCGUGCCAGCCGCCGCAGUAACAC